rnacentral:misc_RNA from 1 species
AAGUCGUAACAAGGUUUCCGUAGGUGAACCUGCGGAAGGAUCAUUACUGAUUUGCUUAAUUGCACCACAUGUGUUUUUUUACUGAACAAAUUUCUUUGGUGGCGGGAGCAAUCCUACCGCCAGAGGUUAUAACUAAACCAAACUUUUUAUUUACAGUCAAACUUGAUUUAUUAUUACAAUAGUCAAAACUUUCAACAACGGAUCUCUUGGUUCUC